rnacentral:lncRNA from 1 species
UGAUACCAUGCCUGCUACCAAGUGGCUACUGCUUCUUUUCUCAGUGGCCUUAUUGGAAUUGAGCUCAGCUCAAACUACUGAUGAGGAGCACCCAGAAGGAGACUCUGUACAGAAUACAGAGGAUGAACAAAAUUCAGGAGAAUCAGUAGGUGGACCAGCACCAAACGACUUCAAACCAGAUGAUCAGGACUCUUUUGAGAAACAAAGGAACUACCCUUUCAGCAAGUAUCAAGGAGGUUACCAAAAACGUAGGCCUCCAGGUCCUCCUAGAGAUGAUGUAUCAGGAGGUUUAGCCCCAAGUAGUCCAACAGGUCAUCAGCAAAGAAGUCGUCCAGGUGGCUGGCAAGGAAUUCAUCCAAGUGGCUGGCAAGGAGUUCAUCCAGGUGGCUGGCAAGUUGGUCGUCCAGGUGGCUGGCAAGGAGGUCUUCCAGGUGGCUGGCAAAUAGGUGUUCCAGGUGACUGGCAAGUAGGUCUUCCAGGUGACUGGCAAGGGGGCCACCCAGGUGGCUGGCAAGGAGGUCAUUCAGGUGUCUGGCAAGUGGGUCAUCCAGGUGGCUGGCCAAGGGGUCAUCCACGUGACUGGAAACGAGGCCGGCAAGGUGGCCAGGAUGGAAGCCAUCCAGGUGACCUGCAAGGACGCCAUUCAGGUGAACAGCAAGGAAGUGGUCCAGUCCCCACAUCACCAAGUGCAUGAAAAGGAAUAUGGUCAUUCAGAAGGCACACUUGAAGUCCUCAUAUGGACCAGGAUAUUGGGACAGUACAGAUCUUCUC